AUAAGGUAGACAUAACAUGCAUUAUAAAGGCAGACAUAAAGGUAGACAUAAAGGUAGACAUAAAGGUAGACAUAAAGGUAGACAUAAAGGUAGACAUAAAAGUGGACAUAAAGGUAGACAUAAGGGUAGACAUUAAGGUAGAGAUAAAGGUAGACAUAAAGGUAGACAUAAAAGUAGA